AGAGACAAAGUGAAGUUGUGCGAGUGAGACAGCUGAUGUUUUUCUGUAUCGCCAUAUUUAUUUGGGAAAAAGUUGGAGAAUUUCCGAGACAAUUGAAAAAUCUGUGAGAUUUUGCAUCAUCGGUGAAUUAAAUGAAAUAGACGUGGUGGUAAUGUGUGCAGGAAGCUGUGUGUAAGAGUUUUUGGUGAUAAUAUUGUGUGCUAGAGUGUUAGAUAUCCUGCAAAAGUGAUCUUGGGCAAAAGAUUGAUUCUGCGUUUUGUUGCACAGAAAAAAAAGUUUCACACGGAAAUACAGCCUUUGUGCGACAAUUUUCUCCGCUUAAUUUGCAAGAAUCACCUCUGUCAACAACAUGGGAACUCGCGAUGACGAGUACGACUAUUUGUUCAAAGUUGUUCUCAUUGGAGACUCUGGAGUUGGAAAGAGUAAUCUAUUAUCGCGAUUCACUAGAAAUGAAUUCAAUUUGGAAUCGAAAUCAACAAUAGGUGUAGAAUUUGCUACAAGGAGUAUAGAGGUCGAUGGGAAAACAAUAAAAGCUCAAAUUUGGGAUACGGCCGGUCAGGAGAGAUACAGAGCUAUAACAUCGGCUUACUAUCGUGGUGCUGUUGGGGCUCUUUUGGUGUAUGACAUCGCCAAGCAUUUGACGUAUGAGAAUGUUGAGAGAUGGCUCCGGGAAUUGCGUGAUCAUGCUGAUCAAAAUAUAGUUAUAAUGCUGGUGGGGAAUAAGAGUGACUUGAGACACUUGCGGGCUGUUCCAACGGACGAAGCGAAAACAUUUGCAGAACGCCAUGGAUUGAGCUUCAUUGAGACGUCAGCGUUGGACUCAACAAAUGUAGAAACAGCAUUCCAGAAUAUACUCACAGAGAUCUAUCGGAUUGUGUCUCAAAAGCAAAUAAGAGAUCCACCCGAAGGGGAUGUUAUUCGACCAACAAAUGUGGAGUCUAUAGAUGUUAAACCCACUGUCUCUGCUGAUUCUGUGCGCAAGCAAUGCUGCCAGUGACCGCCUAAUAGUAGUGAUGGAAUGAGCGCUUCAAUCAUUUUUCUUAGUUCAGAAUUAUUUGCAUAAGUUUAAUGAAGAAAAAAAACUACAUACAGAGGAAUAUUGUCUAAUUAUUGAAUAAUAAUUAAAAGAAAAGGAUCCAUAUUUAAUUUCAAGCAAGCAAAAAAGGAAAAAGAAUACCAGUACAGAUGAAUGAAAAUAAAAAAAAGAAAAUCAUUUUUGCGUAGAAUGAUUACGAAAUAUGUCCAUGUAAAAAUGUCUUUAAAAUUGCAUUAAAGUAAUAUAUAAUAAUCACUAAAAAAAUAUAUUGACUAAUUAUUAAAUAAGACAUUUAUCUGAUAAUUUACACGCACGCUGAAAAACUCCUUUCUUUUUGAUAAAAAAAAGAGAACAAGAAAAUCAAACAAAUUCUGCUUCCUUUUCCGGUUUUGGACGUGUCUCAUCGAGGUUUUGCAGGGGAAUUUUCUCUAAAUGCGAUCAUAGGAUCGUUAUUUAGGAAAAUCUUCUUGCUAUUGGCUCAAUUGUGGGUGGAAAAAAGGAAAGUUGAUUGUUUUCCAUAUUUUUUUUUAGUAAAUAUUUUUUGUAUUGCUGUGGAGGGGAAGGGAUUUGCUGCAUUUUCCAACCACAGAUGAAAAACAAAUUAAGAAACCAUCAAUAUUGAAGCAAUUCACAAAUUUUUGUGAUUUGAUGUCGAAAGCAAUUUUUUGAAGAGGAAAAAUUAAGAAAAAAAUAAAAUAAAACCCGACAGUUGAUCCACAACGAAAUGUUUUACAUUUAAGCAGCACAGAUAAAAUGGAUUUUCUUUUCAAAGUUAAUUCUCAAAGGUUUAUUUAAAGGAGAGAACUGUGGGGGGGUAUUAUCAAAAAGGGUAAAAGAACACUGGACUAAAGUGAUUUAUGAAAAGAUUUUGGGCGUAAUAAUUGUAGGUAGAAAAAAUUAAAAUUUUUCAAGAUUUUUUUCACUAUGAUUUCUUCUUGAUUUUCCACUUUGCAAAUUUAUCAGUUAAUUUUUUUUCGCGAAAGAUCUUUUGUAAAUUUAUCGGACACCAGAUAAAACAAAUCUCCCAUUGACAUGCAAAGUAUAAAUAGUUAAAUUUGAUGAUAAAAAGAAAUGUGUAAUUGCUGACUGUAAAUUUGCUUUAGAGAGAUGAUAACAUGAAUUUAAAGUCUAAUCGUUUUUUCUUAUGUAAUGAGAUGAAUUUCACAUGGUAAACAGAAAUACUUUGUACAGAAAAGAUGUUUUCUUUAAUGCCUCAGUUGACAAAUUUAUUAAAUAAAAAAAAAGGAGAUCGAUAUCAUUGCACUGUUCUGUUCGAUUGAACAGAAAGUAGAAACGUUGGGAAUAUCUAGCAAGAGAUAAUUUUUAAUAAUUUGUAUUGAUUAUACAUUUUAAAUUCCUUUUUUUCGAUUAUAAGAAGUAAUAAAAAUAUUUUGAAAGGAAAAAA